UUGCGAAUAAUCUCCCUGUUCUGAUUUUGUAAUAAUCAGGGCAGGCUACACAUUCGCUAUAUUAAGACCAGGCAUGUGUGCCCAGACCUAGUUCUUUCCCUGGGUCUGGUUUUAUAAAUGCUGGUGAUAAAC
ensembl:snoRNA SNORA72 Small nucleolar RNA SNORA72